CAGAAUGGGUCGCCUAGCGAGUCCCAAGAAAAACCACCAGAAUCACCUACGCUCAGAGGAAUUUCUUGAACUGUCCUGCUCGCUAGGCGAAGCCCACGCGUUUUGAAAAUAAAAAAAAUAAAUUAAAAAUUAAAAAAAACGAAAAAAAAAACGAAAAAAAACGAAAAUAAAUAAAUAAAUAAAUAAAAUAUAACAGAAAAAUCUUGGACUUGGACCUCUCUCAUUUGAGCCCACAAAGCCACGAAAAUCAGGUUAUAAAUUC
rnacentral:lncRNA from 1 species